rnacentral:rRNA from 1 species
AUUGAACGCUGGCGGCAGGCCUAACACAUGCAAGUCGAACGGUAACAGGAAACAGCUUGCUGUUUCGCUGACGAGUGGCGGACGGGUGAGUAAUGUCUGGGAAACUGCCUGAUGGAGGGGGAUAACUACUGGAAACGGUAGCUAAUACCGCAUAACGUCGCAAGACCAAAGAGGGGGACCUUCGGGCCUCUUGCCAUCGGAUGUGCCCAGAUGGGAUUAGCUAGUAGGUGGGGUAACGGCUCACCUAGGCGACGAUCCCUAGCUGGUCUGAGAGGAUGACCAGCCACACUGGAACUGAGACACGGUCCAGACUCCUACGGGAGGCAGCAGUGGGGAAUAUUGCACAAUGGGCGCAAGCCUGAUGCAGCCAUGCCGCGUGUAUGAAGAAGGCCUUCGGGCUGUAAAGUACUUUCAGCGGGGAGGAAGGGAGUAAAGUUAAUACCUUUGCUCAUUGACGUUACCCGCAGAAGAAGCACCGGCUAACUCCGUG